CUUAGCGGAGGAAAAGAAACCACGUCUACGCGUGAGCGCACCUAAUUAUCUGGCUUCGGCCCGAGUGUAAUUUGCAGAGGAUGUUUCUGGCGCGGUGCCUUCCGAGUUCCUGGAACGGGACGCCACAGAGGGUGAGAGCCCCGUAUGGUUGGACACCAAGCCUGUGUGAAACUCCUUCAACGAGUCGAGUAGUUUGGGAAUGCUGCUCUAAAUGGGAGGUAAAUCUCUUCUAAAGCUAAAUACCGGCCAGAGACCGAUAGCGCACAAGUAGAGUGAUCGAAAGAUGAAAAGCACCUUGAAAAGGGGGUUAAAUAGUACGUGAAAUUGUUGAAAGGGAAGCACUUAUGACCAGACUUGGGCCGGGCGGCUCAUCAGGGGUUCUCCCCUGUGCACUCCGCCCGGCACAGGCCAGCAUCGGUUCUCGUGGGGGGAUAAGACCGUCAGGAACGUAGCACCCUCCGGGGUGUGUUAUAGCCUGGCGGACGAUACCCCCGUGGGGACCGAGGUCCGCGCUCCGCAAGGAUGCUGGCGUAAUGGUCAUCAGUGACCCGUCUUGAAACACGGACCAAGGAGUCGUCCAUUAGAGCGAGCGUUUGGGUGUAAAACCCGCACGCGUAAUGAAAGUGAACGCAGGUGAGAGCUUCGGCGCAUCAUCGACCGAUCCUGAUGUUCUCGGAGGAUUUGAGUAAGAGUUUUAACGGACGGACCCGAAAGACAGUGAACUAUGCUUGUAUAGGGUGAAGCCAGAGGAAACUUUGGAGGCUCGCAGCGGUUCUAAUCGUCUAAUAUGAGGCAUGGGGGGCGAAAGGACUAUCGAAACUUGUUCUAGGUAGCCUGGGUUACCGGCCUGUAG
rnacentral:rRNA from 1 species